GGCUGUUUCAUUACUAAACCUUUAAAACACAACACAACAUAUUGAUUUGGAUAAUAGAUGCAAAUGUAUAACCCUGAAUAACCAGUUAAACACUGGAAACAUCACAUCACUUGUUACAAAAUUGCCUUGAAACACUGAUAUACAUACAUAUCAUUGACACCGUAGACCUAGUCACUAACUAAAAUUAUACAAUUUGCCUCCCCAUCUUACUUCCAUUCCAACAACCCUAAGCAUUGAACAUAACCCACAAAAAAUAACUUGCAAAUAACCAAAGCACCUUUCUUAGAUCAGCAUCAUUGUCUGAAGCAUCAGCAGUUGCAUCCACGAACAAUAACACAACUGCAUAUUGCAUUUUAUCUGAGGCUUAUCUGCACAGAGAUGAAUUGGCACCUAGACAGCUGCCAGGAUAAAGAAGGCCCAUGUACAAGCAGCAAGUUCUUCAAGUAUAAAGCUAUGAUUUACUCUUGCUCAUCAAUGUAGGGGUGAUAGAGACAACCCCAAUGAGAAAUAAAGUGGCAAUGGAGUUGAAGUCGUAAAGAUCCCCCAGUGAUUCCAAUUCUCCGAGAGCUAUUCCAGCCUUGACAGUGACAUAAGCAGCAGGAAUGAGUCCGAUAAAGGUUGCCAGGAAAAAAAUAUGAUACGGCACAUCUACUAUUGGUGAAGCAACAUUUAUGAAUGUAUUUGGCAGAGUUGGGGUUAGCCUCAAGAAAAGCAUGUAGUUCAACAAGCUUUCUCUUCUUCUAGCUACCUGCUCUUGGAAGAAGCUGAGCUUGUCAGGCCAUAGAGAGAAUACAAGAGGUCGUCCAAUCAGUUUUGAAAGGAAAUAGCAUGAAGAAGCACCAGCAGUAGCAGUGAACACCACCAAAGCCACGCCUUUGAAUACUCCAAAAAGAGCUCCAGCAAGCAAUGACAUAAAAACAGUCCCAGGAAUCAUAAACGUUUGCAUGAAAAUGUAGACCACACAGUACCCUACCAGGACCUGUGCAGUGUAGUCACUUGUGUAGCUCUCAAGGUGAUCUCUGAGGAUUUGUAGAUCUUCAAGAGUACGAGGCAGCUUGAGGAAGCUGUAAUCGGAAGAGGGCAUGGUAAGAUAAACCCCCAAAAGACCAAGAACGAAUCCCAAGACGACAGUUGUAGCCACCGUUACCUCCCAAAAGCUUAAAGGAAACCCAGAUCCCACAAUUACAGUGGCAUCAUUUCCCUCCCGUAUUUCUCCUCCUCUUCCUGUGCUUCCUGUCCUCAUCUUUCACAAUUCUUCUCUUUCCCUUUGUUUUCGUUUCCUUUCUCUUGGCUUUGGUUGGUGAAAGAGCAAGGGCUAGAGAAAGCGAGAGGAGGAGAGGCCAAUUUUCACCUUCUUUGCUUUUGGGGCACUUCUCCCUCUCCUUUUUUUGUUUGUUUGUUUGUUUGUUUUUUCCCUGCCCCCGGGUAGUCCAGUCCAAAUUUCAAAAUUGAAGAUUGAAUUUUUAGAUUGGAUAUCAUUUGAGUGUAGCUUUGUUACCAGAUGUUGGGGACUACUAAUAAAUUCUGCUUUUGCAUAGCUAAUGCCUGUGGCAAAUGGCAUUCAAAUGCAACUUUGCCCACUGGCACGUGUGCGGUGAGGAAGCGGAUCUAAUAAUCAAUCUUCCAACUUUCACCUACGCACAUACAUCAUACAUUUGUUUUUUACCCAAGGCCACAAAUAUCCAUCUGCCUUCCUCCUUUGCCCCAAGUUACUUAAAGCAAAGUAGCAGCUGCCAGAUGCAUACAUUGGCCAAUUAAUUAUAAGCCCCAAAUGGGCCUCAUUUAUAACUGUCCGUGGGGGUAGUAUAGUAUUGUAUAGUUUGGUUUCAAUUUUCCUUUUUAAAUAUCAUGUAUCAAACAGUUCAUAUGUUGAUUGAAAUUGGGAUCCGCCCCGUCCCCCUUAACAUUUAUAAUUUGCAUUUUCUCUAAUUUGUUCAAAAAUAAAUGCUUAUGGGUUGAUGAGCCUUUUGGAGCAUAUAUGAAUGCAUUGUCUUUCCACCGAAACAUCUCUUGAUUGUAUUCGUUGCAUCUUUUUUUAAUAGUUUCUGCUGUUAGUGCUCGGAAUUUAUUUUGAUGUCCUGUUGUAUUUAUAUUCAAAAAUCAGGUUGAAGGUCUGAUGCGCCUUAUGGAAGGGGAACAUGUGGGGCCUUUCAAUCUUGGUAAUCCUGGUGAAUUCACCAUGCUUGAACUUGCUCAGGUAAGUUUAUUUCUGUUCUGGUUGACAUCCCUAUUUUGUUAUUGCGCUUUUUUUCCCCCUCGUUUAUUGCAAGUUCUAAUAAUGUUCUCGAUCUUUAAGUGAGAAAUAACCGCAAAUUCUUAAUAAUGGUUUCAAUGAUGUUACAAAUAAUGUGAAUGUUGUAAUUGGCCUUUGUAGUUGGUGUAGAACUGCCAUCAUGAGGUAUUCCAAGUUAUAAACUACUCUUUUUUGAUCUCUCAUUGCUGGAUGAUAUUUUGUGAUACCAUUUCUAUGCACAGUCUUCUUCUUCUUCUUCUCUCACACCCCCGGCCGCGCCCCGCCACACCCCCACCCCCCCCAAAAAAAAAUCUCUCUGUCUCUCUCUCUAAUUUUGUAGCACAUCUUAAUCUUAACAUUAUUUGUUGCAUAUUUUUGUCUUGCCAUUGUAAUAUGAAAUGCAUAGUAUCCUAAACAUGCAAAGUCUAAUUUUCAGGUUCAAAUCUGUUUACCUAGAUGA
rnacentral:misc_RNA from 1 species